AAUAUUCAAAUAUUUAAUGCUCAAAUGCAGCCUGUUAUAAAUAUGUACUACACUACUCAGCCUUAUACUAUACCCACUAUAAGCAUGUGGUUGUUGUU